UCAUGUCACCACAAAAAAUCACAUUUGAGUUCUUCUUGAGAAGGUUGAUGGCCUCCUUUGCCUGAUCCACACGUUCCUUGCUGAACAUCUGAUCCCAUUUUGGAGGUGCUGGACAUGGACUCUCUAGAUGGCUAGUGGCAACAACUAACGACUUUUUUCCUGGAACUUCAAGCUCAGCAAUGCAAAGUUCUCUCCCCAUUAUUGAAUUCAUAAAGGGUUUAGUGCUGAAGGAUUUUACUGGCAGUUUGCUUAACUGCAAACAAGGGGGCAAUAUUAAUAAUACUAAAAAAAUUGAAUGCCAACAUUAAAUGAACUGUCAAUGACAUUUACAAAAAAACAAUGCCAACAUUAAUUCUUUAAGAUAUUAAACUUUUUUCCCACGUUUUACAAAAAAACAGUGACAUUUAAUGAACUGCUAAAAUUUAGUUAAAGGUCAAACGUAUUCGGUGAUCAGUCAGAUAAUCAAGGGCCGGUCCAGUAUAUUAAAGACUAUCACUUAACCAAAAGAAUCAAAACCUGCAAAAGCUCACUCAACAGCCAGCAUAAAACCAUGUUUCCAUGAUUCUCCAGUUCUGGGGAGAGAGUGUACAACAGCAAGAGAACUAUCAGGAUCCAUACUUUUCGGUAAGUAAAGUUAGCCAGAAACAUGCUAACGGUCAUGUUAAUUUGAAACCAUGUAUGAGUUGUCUCUGCCAUAACAGAGCAUGAGAGUAACUGUAACAACUUUCAACAUGGUGACUUACAGGACCACUAAUUUUGAUGCUUAAUGUAUCUAUCUGGCAGGCCUGUGAAUGGUGUAUUAUAAGAACAUAGAAGCAGAAUCACCAUCCAGCACAUAUCAAAACCAUACCUGCAUGCAAAAGUAUCCUCUUGAACUUGCUAUUUCAGAAGAGACAGAGCAUUGAUAUGCUUUCCACCAGCUGGAUCGCUGAAAUAUGUCAUAUAUAUCUGGAAUAACCUCCUGCAAGGACAAAUGGAAAUAGUUAAGAUGAAAGUCAAUACAGGAAGAUCCAAUUUCAUGAGGUAGGGAACAAGAAAAACCUGUAAACAAAUGACAUCUGGUGAAUGUAGUUGAAUAAGUUCACCAAGUGCUUUCAUCCUCCUAUGCAUCUCCAGAUCUUCUCGGAACCAAACAUUAUAGCUCAAAAUCUUGAAGGAACCAAGCACUGCUGCUGAAUUUGUAUCCUCUGCCACAAAUUUAAGAUGCUUUGAAUCGUGCAAUGAACAUAUAUAACUGGAACCUUUUAAUAAAUUCCCAUCUCCCUAGCAAGCAGUCAAAUUUCAUGAUGGUAAAACUGGUGCUAAAAAGCAAAAUGAAUGAAGCAACUCAACAAAACCAAUGCUUACGCAUAACCUCAUCAAUCCAUCAUUGUGGUUUCAGACAACAUAAAUAAACUAACAAAGCAAAGAACCAUUAAACUGAAAUAUGUAACUAAAUAAAUAAAUAAAAUGAAAACAGCUUGGACUAUAAAAAUCUCCGUUACCUGUCAAAACAGCCACUCCCUUGUUUGAUGCCCUAGCACCUUGAAAUGCACCCAAUUUCACACUAGCCCCAUCACUUUCAUCUGCAUAUACUAGAACAUUCAACAACAAAAUCUAGAAGCCUAACAAGAAGCACAAAAAAGAACUAAACUUCAAUUAAAAAAUAUAUAUAAAGAAAAGCUGGCUAGCCGAUUAUUCAUGACAAGACAACAAGCUUAACAUGUGACUGACAACAAGCAAUGGUAUUAAUGUUCACAUUUUUCACACACACACUUUAUUACUUAGCAUAACCUCUCUAAUCCACCACUAUCAAUGAAGACAACAUAAAUAAAUGACAAAACAAAAACCUUUAAAGAAGACUAACUAGAACCAAAAAAAACUUACUUACGACUCACCCUUUAGAACCGUGACUCCCUUGUUUGAUGGUUUAACCCCUUGAAACCCACCCAAUUUCACACUAUGGCCAUCACCUCCAUCUGCAUAGAUCAGCAACAAAACCCAAAGGACAAAGAACAUUACAAGUAACUCACAUUGUACUUAGCAUACACACAAUAAUGCAAUCAAACUCACAUUGUUAAAAUGAAAAUAGCAACAAAACUACAACCUCGGAAAUUUCCAUUUUGAGUUGCACAGAGUGGAAAUAAGCUUACAGAGCAUAAACCUUUAAAACGACAAAAAAAGAAGAACUUGAGCCACAAACAUUUGACUUACCCUUUAAAACAAUCACUCCCUUGUUUGAUGCUUUAACACCUUGGAAUGCACCCGAUUUCGCAGAAUCCCCAUCACCUCCAACUGCAUACACAAGCAACAUUCAUCCAUUAAGCAGACAAAAAACCCAACAAAAUCCAUAAAGCAAACAACAAACACACAAAAAAUAACCAACCUUCGACAUUGUUCAAAGACUUUACCCCACGACACCCACCCUCUUGAUGAUCGUCAACUGAGUCUCUAACCUUCCUCUUACAAUGCCUUAAGGGCAUGAAAACAGACCCAACAGAAGAAUCCACAUCACCAUCAAGACCACUAGUAUCGGUCAAAUCCUCUAAACUAGAAAGAGAAAAAACAGAACCUCUAGUGCCACAUACUUCACAGCUACUGUUCUUAUACGGGUUCAAGAAAGUGCAAGCCUUGCAAGACCAUUUUGGGGUUUCUUGAUUUGAAGAAGAGGAAGGUAGUGGAGGGGGUGAAGGAGGUGAGAGACAGAUUUGGCAAGUGGGUUUUGGUGAUGGAGAGUUAAUGAAAGUACACUUCUUGCAAGACCAAGACAUGAGGUUUGAGAGAUGAACAGAAAGAUUGCAGCUUUUACUAGGUUUAUAAAGGGGAGAGAUGAUGACGAUGGGCACAAAGGUUAUUUUUUGCAACAAAGAUUGCAUUUUUAUAAGUUUGGAAAGUUCAAACUAAUUUGAAACAUUGAAGUCCAGCUUUGGAGACAAAGUGCUUCAAGUAUGGCCCACUGAAGAAUCAAACGUGUAGGUGCUUGGUAUUGCGUUACACCUGCGUUUCGUUUAAAUUUGAAUUUUUUUUUUUUGUUAAAAUUGAGUUUGGUUUGUACUUUUUAAAUCGUUUUGAUAUAUUGAUGUCAAAAAUGAUUUUUAAAAAAUAAAAAAACAUCAUUGGCAUGUAUUUCGACACGAAAAGUUAUUUGAAAAACAACCGCUACCACACUACUAAACACGCUCUAAAUAGAAAACCCACAUAAUGGGCUAAUUAUUUUAAAAGAAUGUUUUUUUUUUAAGUUUAAAGCUGCAUAUUUUAAAAUUGCGUUUAAUUUGAAAAAAAAAAUAUUGGUAUUAAAAUUAAAAAAAUAUUUUAAUAUAUUUUUAAAUAAAAAAAUAUUUUUUAAAAUAUCUUGCAUCACAAUAAUGACACACUCUUAGAGUAUGUUUGACAUUACAUUUUAAAAGUGUUUUUGAAAAAAAAUAAUUUUUUUUAUUUUAAAUUAAUAUUUUUUAUAAUGUUUUCAGAUCAUUGUGAUGUGUUGAUAUCAAAAAUAAUUUUUUAAAAAAUAAAAAAAAAUAUUAUUUUGAUGUGUUUUAAAAUGAAAAACACUUUAAAAAAACAACCGUUACUAUACACCUAAACACACCCAAAACAAAGAAAUUUCAAGAUUGUUUUUUUAAAAAAAUUUUAAAGAAAAAAAAUUAAAAUAAAAAAAAGUCAAAAACAAAGAAAUUUCAAGAAUUUAAAGAAAAAUAAUUAAAAAAAAUCAAAUUAGAUUUUAAUUAGUUUAACUCUCUAAUUAAUUUAAUUUAAAACUUGAAACAGAGUUGAUAAAUUAUUAUUAUUUUCACAGUAAAAUCAAAUUUAAUAAUUAAUAAUUUGUUUUUUUAUUUGUUGGUUUUACAAUAAGGGUAUCUUAGGUUAACUUUGUAACUUGGACACAAAGCUCACCUUUAAAGUUCAUUCAAAACCAAUUUUAUAUCUCACAAUCUUAGCUUAAAGUUUGAAAGAUUAAGAAAGAAGCUCACCUUAAUCAUAGGUCAAACCUUAAUUUAGACUGUUUGUCAUGAUCAUUACGAGAAGAUUAGCCUAAAAAACUAGUGAAUAAAAAAGAUAAAAUAAUAAAAAGAAGAACCUGGGUCUUAAAGACAAGCCUUUUCACAAUCUACAUCAUUCUUUUUGGCUUGUUUUGAGGAAGGAAAAAUGGAGCUUAAAUAGAGAAACUGAUAGCCUUUUUUUUUUAAAAAAAAAAAAACAAACAUCUUGAAGAUACUCCCAUUAUCUUGCUCAUAAUCAUGGCCCCGAAAAAUCCUGCUCUCUAGGCCUCCAUGUUUGUUGCGGUAUGCUCUUGCUUACAAGAAAGUAUAUAGUGCUAACCUACUUUUUUGAACACUUUUGAUUCCACAGAAGAGCCCACAAAAAAAUUGUCAUCACUCCUUUCACAGAGAAGACCCUACCAAAAAACAUCUCUCAAGUGAGAAUUUGCUUCUACAAUGAAGAAUUUGUGGACUAAAAAGUUAAAAACAGCCUAGCACAGCAAUAGCCAAUCAUCAUGAAGGAAUUAAACACUAUUACAUUACAAAAAAAUUGUUUAUUUUACACCUCAAGACAUCAUAAAGGGAAUGUAUAACAAAAUAGAGAAGAUUACAGUCAAGAGAGUUUGUAAUGCCUUGUCUACUGCACUCAUUCUACUGCUUUUGAAGCUGAUUAAUCUUGAACCACCCGCUGCGUUACUUGGACUGGUUGUGUUCACCACCGUCCUCGCCUUAUUCGUUAUUUUUUUGCUGCAUCCGAAGUUGGAAAAUUGGUGAGAAAUUGUUGCAAGGUGUUUUCAUAAAGUAAUGAUUUUGCUUUUUGCACUUUCCAUCUCUUUGACUACCAGGAAAGGGAAUGCAAAGAAGCAGAAAAGGAACCAAAGUGUGAUGUCCUUUCGAAUAAAUUAGGCCACCAAGUAGAAAAGAAGAGUUUCUUACCUUCCAGGAAAUAUACAGCUCCCAUGACCUGCCAACAAGGAGAAAAGAUGUUAGGUUUGAGAAACAUAACAGGUGAAAAAAUAUCACAAACAGGACUCAUUUUCCUCAAGGUAACAGUCAUUCGGUAGAUAAAGAGCAAUGAUGGAGUUUCUUGCAAGAAUGUAUAAAAGAAAGAGGAUAAAUGGCCUUGAACUGUUGUUACUGUCCUGUCCUGACUCUAUGGGGCUCUCAUGGCAUAUAGCGUCCAAGUUGAAAUCAUAAUUUCCUAGGUUGGCUGUUUCAGCACAAUUAUAAAUGUUAUUCCCUGCCCUUUCCACAAUCCAAUCACUCAAGAAACCAUGUGACUCUGUCAGGUAGGAAUCACACAACAUGUACCCUUGAAGUCACCUCAACAUUCACUUUCCUUUAGUGGUGUGGCAUAAGGCAAUUAGCACCUUUUUAACUUUUAAUCCUAAAUACUUGAGCUUAAGGUAUCUGUUUAACCACUCAAAGAGCCUUAAUGCACUUUUAGUAGAUGCACAGCAUACUAUUUGGUUGUCUAAGCAGCAACCACGCAUUCAAUUUUGCACACAGACAACAGUAAAAUAACGAUCUAUUGAGGACGAAAUUUGAAGAUCAGAUCCUAAACUUUGUUAAAGUUCAAUGAAAAUAAAGAACUGUGUUUAUUCAAGGCAUUAAGAGUGAAAAAUGCUUACUUGGAUCGGUAGUGGUGGUCAUGGCAAUGCCCUUGAAAUCACAGGACCCAGAAGCCCUUCCUUCCUUCUGGUAAUAGCUAUCAAAUGCAUAAGAGGCAUGGUUCUUGACAUUGUUAGGCUGAUAACAGUUCUCCCCUGGCUGAAUCUCACUACAAUUAGCCCUUCCUGGUCCACAUACCCAAUCCAAUGCUGCCUGCAAUGUCUUUGAAUCAACACCAUCCAUAACAAUACAAUAUGUUUGGUUGGUUGUAUCAUUAGCCAAGAAAGUCCCACUUCCAGAUACAUGAAGCAAAUAAACCGGUGUCGAAUUCGCAUAAAACAAUCCCCAAUUUGCUUCUGAUACUGGUGGUGACCUCAAAUCUUCAUUGAACAACUCGUAUAAAUACACACUAGAAGUGAUUUCUGGGUGCAAAGGAGUCCCGCUACGAUCAAGAACAUGCUUAAUCAAAUUAGAAUUAUAAGUAUCUGCAUUGUCAAUUGUAGCAUAAGGUUCUUGAAUCACCCUUUGAAGGCCAACCACUCUCGGUAACAAGAACCACUACAUCAGUAAAAUUCAUAUUCUUCAUCGAAAAAUAAGCAGCAUCAACCAUAGCAUCAAGAACAUUAGUGUAAUGCAACAAAGUAUUAGGAUCAACCAUUUCCUUGGAUGGUGUCAAGGGCUUGAACAAAGAAUUAUCAAGAGGCACCACUCCUUUAUUUUGCAUAAACACAUAGUACGGAUAGAAAUUCAUCAUCAAAGGUGACCCAGUUCUUGAUAAAAAAUGAAGCAAAGGUUUAAUAACCGAGAUCCAACUCUGAUUAAAAAAAGACUGAGAAGGUGGAAAUGAAUCAAGAAUUAUAGAAGCAGAGUGUGGAGUUGAAAUCUUUAUCUGAUUAUGCAAUUUUCAGCCACCAAAGCACUAUAAAGAGACUCAAUAGCUGGCACAAGCAAAGGAGCUGAAGAGGGUACUGUAGUUAAAACCUCAUCACCAACAGCAAUUGCAGUAAUUACAGUCUGUGGAUAAUAAGCAACAACAUUUUUACCAAUCCAAGAAGCUGCAGUUGUAUUGGAGGAUCCAAUAGCAAGAAGCUGAUUAUUUGGAACACUAAUAAUGACCCGGAUCUUGGUUUUAGCCAAGGCCUUGAGUAUGUCGGGGUCUGCAUCAUAAAGCUUGAUAUGUGUAACCUUUUGAAAUUGUAGAAAUGAAACAAGUUCUGUAGCUGACAUAAGAUUGGACACAUCUUCUCCUAUGUUGAUUCCCACAAAUGGCUCAUUGUCUUGUUGGUCCUUGAUUUGUGCCACUGCUAUUUUUGAUGAUAAAGCUGCAAAUUUGCCAGAAAAACAUUAGAAACACAAAAGGGAUUGUUCUUAGUUUCUUGAAAUAGUGAAUAUACAAGUGGGGUUUUUUUCUUUUACCUUGUGAUGAUAUAGAAAGUGAAAUGUACAGGAAGAAGAAGACACUGUAGAGAGGAAGCUUAGACAGUGCCAUGACUGAAGAAGAAAUUGAGCUUCACAACUUCAUCUUCUGGUUCAGGUUCAGCUAAAGGUUCUUGCAUUUGUAGGCUUAAUUUUUCCGUUUUUUGAGUGAAUUUUCUUGGUGGGUUUUGGUUUGGCUUUGGAGAUGGAGGUGGCUAGUUGACCUCAAGAAAUCUUCCAGUAUCUAACAAGAAUCAAGAAAGCAAUCCCAUGGACUCAUACUUGCUAACAAGACUUCAAGAAUACCCCUAACAAUAUUACUAGUUUCAAUUUCGUCCCCAAACAAAAUUUUAUUCCUUAAAUUUCAGUCAUUUUCAAUUAAAUCUUUCCAUUUAUGUUUGAUCAUGACUUCCAUCCAAAUCAUAACUUUCUUUUACCUCUUUAUUUUAGUAUUUUUUUUAUCAAUUAUAACUCUCUUUUUUACCAUUGUUACUAUGUUCCUUCCUUGAGUUUAUAAGAUUUGUUUUAUACAUGAUUUUCUAAUAUUAUGGCACAUAGGAGUAAGAUCAAGCUUUCUACGAUUUGGAGAAAAUUAUUGUUCUAUUAGAAGAACUUCAUUGAAAAAUCCAAAUUAUUUGGGUAUAAAAUUAAUAGAAAAGGUUGUUUGGGGAGACAAUCGACACUACUCCAAUAAUUGGGGGGUAUAAUUGAAGUUUUCCCUAACUUGUUUGUUGAUCUAUGUGAAUUCCCUAAAGUGGCCUUGUGAACCGACAAGUACUUUAGUUAAUUUGCACUGUGCUCUUAAAGACCCCUAGAAGUGGAGCUUUAUGGUAACUUCAUCUAGAUUGACAUGGCUGGUUCUUGAAGUGAUGGAAGUUGCAGAGGCUGGCAUGGCAAUCUAGAGAGAGACGUUAGAAACCUCUGACUUUCUAGCCCACCAGUACAGUGCACUCAGCUGCUCGCCAGAGUGUCCUUUUUUAGAGUUCGGACUUGUAGUUAGGCCUCCACACUCGACAUCAUUUUGAUUUUGAUUGGAGUAUGGUUUAUUUUUGUUUAAUUAAACAUACCACUUUCACCUCUCUUUUUUAGCAAUCCCAUUCCGACACAACGCAUAUACUCUUUGAGGAAAUCUUCUGUGUGUGUGUGUCUAUAUAUAUAUAUAACCUUUAUUCUACAUUUGAUCAAAUCAUACCUUCUAUUUUAAAUUUAGUAAAAUCAACCACUCUAUUUGUAAUAUUCGAAGACAAUUAGACAUCUUUUGUUCAAUCUUUUCAUGUCAUGUGGUUUUUAUUGGACCAUUUUGCUAGUAAUAAAAAGUUGGACAAAGAAACCCAAAUCACUUUCGAUUGGAAAUAGCAGGGUAGUUUUGCCCACAUCGUAGAUUACAAGAAAUUAAAAUAAAAAAAAAAUACUAAACAAGAUCAGAAAUCCUGUACAUAAGAGUGCUUUCACUGUAGAUUUAAAAGUGUUUUGUGUUGAAAUUUUUGUUGAUCUCGAAGAUAUGUUUGGUUUUCUUCUCAGGUUUUGUAUGUGCGGUUGAGUUCUGGGCAACGUGGCUUCUUUGUUAUCAUAAUAUAUAUUAUACUUUGUGUUUUUGUCUCAAAAUAUUGUUAAGGCCAGACACCAACAUGCAGUUUUCCUCUCAUAUGAAUCUUCCCUUUCGACCAAAUAUCACCAAACCCUUCACUGGCCAUUGCUAUGCAUCACCAAACACAUUGCCUCUCUGUGUUAGAAAAAGGGUGGGGCUUUCGCUUGUCAGCCAAGGAAGAAAGGUUUUUGAUCUCUUCUGUGCUUUGCUUUUAGUUUUUUUUAGGGUCAAUUGGCACAAGUAAGAUUUUUUAAACAGAAUUGUCUUCUACGGUGGCGUGUGCCCUUUCGCUUUCUGUUUUAAUAACCCAGAUUUUACAUGAUGAUUUCUGAUGAAGGACUACAUGAUUAACAAGACAGCCAUGAGCAGUAGAUGAAGGCUACUUUUCAACUCGAAAGCCUUGGGGAAGUUUCUUGCAUUCUUGCUGACAUAAUGGGAUAGUAUAUUAUCAAAAUAGUGUACUUGCAAAAGCUUGAAACUCAUCCCUUAAGAAGGAAAGAUUUAGACUAUACAUUUGAAGUUAUAGCACCUAAUCGAACCAUUGUGCAGAAUAUUGUGUUUCAACGCCCUUAGUAGUUCCAGCAACCUGCAAUGAUGCUUGAAUAAUUGCUAUCACAAUAACAUUUGUUCAUUUACUUUCAUGUGCACCUUUAUACAUGGAUUUUCUAUAGUUUUUUCUUUUCUUUUCUAAACAUCUAUGGUGCUCAAUUAUGGAGUAUUAAGCGAAAAUUGAAUUUUUCAGGGGAAAAAUUCUUAAAGCAUCGAAGGAUUGGGCAGAGAGAAAUAUCCAAGUCAUUGUUGUUACUGAUGGUGAGUGUAUCUUCGGGCUUGCGGGUCUUGGUUGCCAGGUAUUGAUGCUCAUAAAUUUAUUUACAAAUUGGAUGUGCAAACCACUUCUUAUCUCUUAAUGAUGCAAUGGUUUUACAUUCGUUAAGGAAUGGGGAUUCUGGUCGGAAAACUCUCUCUACAGACAGUAUUAGGAGGAUUACUUCCCUUUGCAGUAAGGAUAAAUCUGCUAUCAAAUGUACAACAAUUUCAUACUCAUUUUUCUUCUAUUAUUUAGACACACCACAAUCACUGCUUUACUAGAGCUAUUAGUUGUCCCUUGCUAUUUAGUUACUAAAACCUUCCAACUGUAUUCGAUACACACAGGGCACAAACAAUGAGAAGCUGUUGAAUGAUGAGUUCUAUAAUGGUUUUGGACAGAGGAGGGUAACUAGACAGGUAGAGUAAUUAAUUUUACUUUCUUCCAUUUCCAAUCGACUGAUAUUUCUUCUUUUCUUUUCUAGAUUUUAAAUCAUUCCAGGUCUCAAGAUUUGUGUUUGUUAUUUAUUGAUCUUUCUUUUGGAUAAUAUUGCUUUUGUAUUAAGUGAUGUUGACUGAAUUCUUUCUGGUCGAGCCAAUGGUUAAAGAAGUUGUGAUAGAUGUCGCUCUUUCGAUUUAUAAAUCGGUGCUUUUUUUCAAGUUUCCUGAAUCGGUGAGGUUGCUGCUUUGAAUAUUGUUGUCAUUUUUUCAUUGAUUUUUAUUGCUUUCUCAACAAUGUUUGUGUGUUGGUUGUUGUUAUGUGGUUUGUUUGUUCGCUUUGAGAGUUGCUACUCAGUGAGUUCGUAACUUUCUCCAUGACUGGAUUAUUGAAAUUGGUGCUUCGUUUUGGAUCCCAUAGUUGUCCUUUUCAUGAAUUCCUGGGUGUGCUGGCAUUUUUCUGAGUUGAUAUACAAAAACACUUUAUCAAUAAUAGGCAACUACAGGGUGCCAAGCAAGCUAUUAAUGAAGGAAAAAUUGUAGUGCUUUGGCAGCAGCUUGCAGAACAUUGGCCUUGGCCAAAGAGAUCACUUAAAUAUUGCGAUCUCCAACUCCUAGGAUCCUUGCCUGGUUCUUGGCUAAAUGGACUGUAGUCUGUAGACCAGGUGCAUUAUUUUAAAACUCGAUCAGGAAUAAACUGAGAAAAAUUGUACUGUUAUUCUUGAGUAGUUUUAUGGUGUUACCAGUUGAACAUGUUACAAAGCCAACGAGAAUAGGUGAAGCUAAUAAUACAGAUGAGAAAUGUUUGGUUUGUUGAGAAAGACUCUGGCUCCAGGGAAAACAUGAUACAUGAAGGAAAUUAUGUUUGAGCUAAUGAAAUGCAUCAAUUACUACGUUGGCCUUAGCAAACAGAGAUUGAGAAAGGUCAUUUGGCUGAUGACUUGAGUUUUAACCUCUUCCUAAACACUACUGAUCGAUGUAUUGGUUAAAUGUGGUGGUAUUUAAUCAUCAAACUUGCUCUAGUAGUAUGGUGUGAGCAAUUACACUGAUGCAUUCAUGAAGUUUUUCUUAAAAACAAUCUUUGACUUCUUAAAAAAUCAUCGAACUUGCUCUAUUAGUAUGUUUGUUCCUUUUAAAAAAAUCAUUGACUUUUUAGCAAGUGUAUAUUAUUAAAUAAAAUAUAAACGAACAUAGUAAUUGAGUCAGGUCACGUUCAUGACCUGAGGAUUGUAUUUAACGGAUCUCAAUAUUUAAAAAACAAAAGCGAAUGCAUUUUGGAUUUAAAAUGAAAAAAAAUCUUAUUACUGCUGGAAAAAGCAUUAAUGCAUGCAUGUGUUUGACGAUGGCUUCGACGAAACUUUUUUUAUGCGUCGAAAGGUAAUUCGUGGUGGCGGAAACCUAUCUAGUAAUUUGCUAUAAUAUUAAGGAAUUAGCCUUCUUGAAGGAAAAAAAGGUAAUCUCUUCUUUGAUUUUCUAAGUUUGAUGUGAACAUUUUAAAGCAAUUCAUUUCUUCUAAAUGCACCAUAAUUAUAUUUUUAUUAUAAAAUUUUAUGAUGAUUGGAUAACGAGCUUAAUCAUGUGUUUUAUUAUUUGAUCAAUUCUCCAUAAAUAAGAAAGGUGGUGGCUUGUUAUUGAAAGCCUAAUACUUGCAAAACAAUUUUUAUUUUAUGAAUUUAAAGAUUUUUUAAUACUUAAAUCAAUAAUUAUAUAGACAAAGUGGAAUAAAUAUGCAAAAAAGCACUAAAUCACAAUAACAAAGCUGUUUGUUCUUGUUUUGAUAUGUAAUCAAUGCUAUGAAUUAUAUAUCUGUAUAGUUCGUAGGGUAUUUAUAUCUUAUGAAUUUUGUUAUUUUACUUGAAUGAGAGGGUUUUUAUACCUAUUUAAAUAUAUAAUAAGAGAUGCCAAGUGUUUUUAUACAAAGACAGUGGCAUUCAAUUGUCCAAAGAAAGUGGAAAAAACAUGAGAAGCAUGCAGAGAGCACUGCUUUCUUCGGGGUACCCCAUGCUCAACGCUGUUUGCUUCAGUUUAACGAGAUUUUUAUGCCUUGGACCGAGUCAUCGGCUAAACCAGGUUUUAUAAAUUUGCUCCUCCCGUCCAACUUCCAUUAAUUCUUGGAAAAUUGAAUAGCAGCCAGAUGUUCUCAUAAUACAACAGCUUAGUAAUAAUUUAGGUUUUGUUUUGUUAAUGCAGCAGUAAAAUCUAAUUUUUGGUUUUCAGACCUCUGAAGCCUGAAACUUCUUUUUUAUUACUUGAACUGUGCCUCCUUGAAUGCAGAUUUAGAUUUUCCUUCAAUUUCUCAAAUCACAGGUAGAAGAUAUGAGUUGUUAACUACCUUUGGAUAUGAAUCGCUUUUACUUGUGUGUGUGUGUCAAAAUUCAGUUCAUUUCGUUGCAUUUGACAUGUUAGACCAACCGUGGAGACUGAAGAUCUCUGUACCGUACGCAAGAAAGGUAAGCAUCUAAAACCUUGGAUAUGUGGUCAAUGGGGGCUCUAUGUUCUUCAGAAAAAGCUCAGGCCAGGAGAUAGAGUUGCCUUGACCAUGCAUGUGCAAGAGAAUGGUGUAAGAAAUUAUCGUAUCAUAGCUGAAAGGAAGCAUUUCGGUUUCUGGUAUUCCAUUGAUCACUAGUUAUUCACUGCACAGGCAAGGUAGGGAUAUCUUCUGGAGCCAGUGUGGAAGCAUUCUUGUAGAAAAGUGAUUUGGAUGAAGAGAUGAAAUAUAAGGGACACUGAAAUGGACUCAUAAGUAUAUAACGAGCUUAAUAGAGUUUUUCUUUUUCUAGCUUAAGCAAUUUUUAAUUCAAUCAUCUAUGUUCUGCACUUUUCUUUUGUAUAUGAGAUUAUAUGUUUUUGAUUAAUUUCUAGUUUGCCAUUAACUUACCGGCACUAGCUUUAAUAAUAAAUUCACUCGACUAUUAUAAAAGAAAAAAAAAUGUGUAUUUUGUAGAAGGUAAAUAAAUAAAGAAAAAAAUUGCAUUUAGCAUGAGUUAUGACAGUAACUUGAAAUACAGGAUUUUGAUAUUUAGAGUUUUCAACCAAACAUAUGAUUUCUCUUCGAAUAUAUCAAGACAAAUAAAUCUAAACAGAAAUAACUAAAAUAAAUUUACAAAAUUCAAAUAAAAUGGACUCUAAAUGAGAUUGAACUAGAAUCCAAUUCAUUAUGUAUGUCUGGGUUCAUAGAUGCUAUGAAGCCGUGUAUUUUUUUUAAAAACAUCUAUGUUAAGCUACUUGGUAUGUAGCAUAUUUAUAAACAUGUUCGGUAAAUGGCAAUUAGAGGUCUGGAUUAACUCAACCUUUCAAGAUUACCUUGCAAGAUGGUCAGCACAAUCUUUUAUCACAAGUAUAAAAACUAUGAUAUUUUGCUUCCCUGCAUUGUACACAAAAAUCCAUCCAAGCAAUUCUAUCGAGGUAAAGAAAUUAAUUUUCGUCUUAUUUAUGCUUCAUGGUGAACUAGAAACAGGGUUUUGCGGAGGAAGAAGAGGUUGGCCAUUGAUGGGGCGUAUGAACAAGUUUUUGGAGAAGGAGAGGCUGUAGUUGACAACUAAUUAAAAGGAGCGGAGCCAAGGUGAUACCUGUGCUCAAAACGUCGAAGGUAAAAUACAAAACCCAAGGUGCAAACCGAUUGAGUAUUAUGUUUGCGGUUAAGAUUUGAAAAAAAAUAUAUUAAAAAAUAGUUAUAAAUUUAUGAUAGUUUUUACCAUAAUUUUUAAAGUUACGGUAAAAGUAAUCAUCAAUGUGGGUUGGGCACGGACAUGUCCAGACCCAACUUGGGGUUGGGCGCGGGCGUGUCCAAACCCAACAUGGGGUCGGGCGGGGACAUGCUCAAGUCCAACAUGGGGCUGGACAGGGACGCGUCUACCCCCAAUGUGGUGGUGGCCAUUGUCAUGUCCAAGGCCAUCAUGGAGUUGGUUGCAGUCACAUCCAGACCCAAGUUGGGAUGGGCGUAUAAGUAUCUAGGCCCAACAUAGAGAUGGACUCGGUCGCGUCCAAACCCAACAUAGGGGUGGGCAUGGACGUGUCUAGGGCCAACAUGGAGGUGGGCGAGGAUGUGUCUAGACCCAACGUGGGGGUGGGCGUGGACGCGUCUAGGGCCAACAUGAAGGUGAGUGGGGACGCGUUCAGAACCAAUGUGAGUGUGGGUGUGGGCGUAGAUGCGUCCAGGCCCAACAUAGAGGUGGGCGGGGACGCGUCCAGACCCACCAUGGGGCUGGGUGUUGACCUAUCUAGCCCAACGUGGGGUGGGCGGGGACGCAUCCAAACCCAUCGUGGGAGUGGGGCGGGGACGCGUCCAUGGCCAACAUAGCUUUGGACGAGGAGGCAUCCAGACCCAACAUGGGGCUAGGCCUGGACGUGUCCAUGCCCAACAUGGCUUUGGGCGGGCACGCGUCCAGACCCAGCAUGAGGUUGGGCAUGGACGCAUCCAGGCUUAACAUAGAGUUGGUAGCAGUCGUGUCCAGACCCACUGUGGGUUGUGUGUGGAGGCGUCCAGGCCUAACAUGGAGGUGGACACGGUCCUGUCCAAACCCAACUUGGGGUUGGGCGAGGACACCUCCAGGGCCAACAUGUUAUUACCACCAAAGAAAAACCAUAGAAUUGAUUCGAAAGAUAAAAUUAAAGAUUAUUAUUAGUAUUAUUAUUAUUAUUAUUAUUAUUAUUUGUGCCAUAAAUAUUAUUAUUUUUAUUAUAAUUGAAGGUAUUAAUAUUAAUACUAUUAUUUGUGUUAUAAAUAUUGCUAUUUCCAUUAUAGUUCAAAUCAUUAAUAUAAAAAAUAUUAUUAUUUGAGUACAAAUAUUUUAUUUUUAUUAUAAUUGAAAAUAAUAAUAUUUAUUUUUAUUGUAGUUCAAACUAUUAAUAUAAAAAAUAUUAUUAUUUGAGGUACAAAGAUUAUUAUGUUUAGUAUCAUUGAAAGUAUUAAUACUAAAAAAUGUUGAUGUAUGGUGGGCUCUUUUUUUCUUUUCAUAUUAAUGCUUUUAGGUUUGAGAUAAAUUGGCCUUUUAUUAUGCAGUUGAUAAGCUACCAUUUGUUGGGAUAUUUCCAUUAAUAGGUAACAACUUGUGCACCUAUCCUAAAAAGUAGGGUUAUCAUUGUCAAAAGGCUACAAUAAAAGUUGCACCAACCAUUGAUAAAAAUGGUGUAACCCAUGUGCUGCUACCAUUUAUGCCAUAAUUGAUGGCCUCUUGUCUUACCAUUGAUGCCUAUAAAUAGAGGCAUUGUUCUAGAGCUAAGUGAGAGAGAGUGUAGAGAGUGAAGUGAAAAGAAGAAGAGAGAAAGAGGAGCUGCUGCCAUAUGCAGCAGUGUGUGUGAGCUGGGAGUUGAGUUAGAGUGGAUGUAAUACUCCUCCUCCAUCUAUUUAUUUUGUAUUAUUUCUCUAACUCUAAUAAUAUUGACCUCUCCGUGGAUGUAGGCAAUUUGUCGAACCACGUUAAAUAUUGUGUCAGUGUGUUUAGCUUUCAAUAGACAACUAUCAGUACAUCACCGGUCGGAUUCCCUAACAAUUGGUAUAAGAGCAUUUGGUUUAAAGUGGUAUUUGAUUUUUGCUCAAAAAUCAAAGUUGUCAAACUUGUGUUUUGACAAUACCACCGUGUAGAGGAGGAAAAGACGAGCACACUGGUGAAAACGGCGCAAAGUUUCGACGUGGGACAUGGUUGUACGCGCCGGCAAGACAUCUAGCCACGCGCACAGACGCGCCUCAUGCGUGCAACGGGUCUUCUUAGCCAGGAUGGGAUGAACCGACCUGAAUAUCAUAUUAUCCGACCCACGUGUCUGACCCGGAUGGAGGAUGAUGUCAUCAUGUCGUAAUCAUGGUGUCAGCAUGCACAGUUGGCUGCCUGUUAGUGCUUCGUCAGCAGACAUGUCAUCACAGUUGAACCCACCUGACACGUCAUCAGCCGCGAGCCAAGGGAUAGGAUCCACUAUAUCUGAUUCUACGUGCAACUGGAUUUGAGAUUGAAUAUGGGUCGUCGAUUAGGCCAUAAUUAUUUUGAUCAAAUCUUAACUGUCUAAAAUGGGAUUUGGACGAUUUCAGACUUGUUUCCAGCUAAUUUGAUUGUUCCGGAUGCAAUGGUACGAUCCGAUCAUUGAGAUUGAGACAAAAAAUGACGGUGGUGAAUUAUUAAGAGAGAUUGCCCGAUCGGGAAGCAUCUGAAGGUCAUCAUGGUGAUCGAUGGAGAUGAAGAAGAAGAAGGUGCACAUGUUUGCCUAAUUACAUGUGCUGAACUGUUAAGUAAGGAGAAUUUUAAUUGCCUUGAUGGAAGGCAAAAUUGGGAUACUCUGGACACCUGAUCAUGUGGAUGAUUUAAGGUGGAGAGUAAAAAUUGAUGAAGACCAAUCUUGACAAAUCUAAGCACUGGUAGUCUCACCAGAUGUUGAGAAAUUAGGUAUAAAACAAAAUAUUCCAGAUCACUUGUAAAGGAAAGCCGCAUCAAAAGCUAGCAAAUGGUUGUAUAUACGGAAAGGCCUUACGAUGGAUAGAUAUGGCCUAAAAAGUUUUGGCUAGGAGAUUGGGUUUUAAACGGGACCGUUGUUACCCUUCCAAUCUUUCUUGGGAACUUGCUUAGUUGAAGGAUUAUCUAUAUGGUACUAUUUCAUAUAUGUAACAGUUUGUAAUGAAACUGGUGAAGACUAGCAGGAUGACGGCACAAGAGGAACAGUUGGGUUUCGUAUGAUCAAGGAUCUGAUGGAGUGGUAAUUUCUCCAAAUUAGUUAGAUUCGGUGAUUGUGAUUUCUCAAUGAGAGAAUUGAUGAAGACCCUGAUAAUGGAAGAGAAAUAAAGCAUAUGGAUAAAGAUUGGCACCCUAUUUUGACUUGGAUAGGUGUUGUGACAAGUUGAGUUGUUGUCAAACAUAAGCAAGGAAUAUGGAGAAAUCUAGAGAACAGAAAUUGCAUGAAGGCACACGAAGAUUGUGCAGGAGUACCUAAAGGAUCCAACGAGGUACUAUAAUGAGACAACAGGUGCAAAGAGAAGAAGAGUUCCUAGAUAAAGCUCAGAGCGGAGACUAUGUACAACAUGAAGUCUCUUGUGCACUUGAUAAAGACAACACGCGAAGAUAUUUCCAAUAUAUGCAAUGAUAGAAAGAUGAGUUGUUGGAGAGGCACCUAAUUGAGGGGGUGUGAACGCUUGUGAUAAAAGGUGAUCGCCUAUGAUGAAAGGCAAAGACACUAAAGAGAGUUGGUGUAGGUGGAGCUGUUAAGCAAAAAGGCGUAAAAGCUUCAAACAUAGAAAUCGAAGUAGAGGAUUGCGAGGAGUAUACCGACAACUUUCUCUUUCUAUGUAGUCAGUGGUUGUGAUCUCUCCCUAGUCCACAUGGUGGUAGAGAAUCUUAGAGUCACUGGAGUUAUCCCUGAUGAAGGAGGAUAAAACCGUUCCACGACGAGCGAAGACACCUCAAAUGGAAGGUGUGAGGGCCAUGAUAGGAGCCCAAUUACAGAACGCCCUAGAGCCAAUGUGAUGGCUGGAUAUAUGGAUAGCCAAUGAAGUGGUUAUAAUGAGUAUGAAGACAAAUGCAGGAUUGACUUUCAUGGAUAUUGCCCCCAUGUUAAAGAUUAAUGAGCUAGAAGACAUUUGCCUUGGACAAUAAAUGGGUGACUUGUGGAGCAUUAAGGCGUAAUUGCUAGGAAUGAGUAGAGGGCAUGCGUAGGUUCCUGGAACAAGUUGACUCUUGUCAAGGUGGUGAGCUCGGUGAUGGCAUUGUAAUACUCAGAGUAUGAAGACAGAUAUGGAUCCACAUUUACUGGGUUGCCCCCAUGGUUAAAGGUGGAGAGCUACGUGGACUCUUAAGACUAAGAGUGGAAGACUCACGGAGAAGUAAGACAUGGUUUUUAAGGUGGAACAGAGGGCAGACGCAACUUCAGGAUGAGUAUACUCUUGGAAGAGUGGUGAGCUCGUGGUCACAUUGAAAUACUCAAUGACUGUCGCACUUGGAACAUCCAUUUUAGGGGGGUGUUGUAAGCCUUGGUGUGAGGCUUGAAAAAUCAUUCCGGACCGAGCAUGGUUGAUACGUUCAAAGGGGAAUGUUGUGUCCCAGAGACAAGCGUUAACACUCUUCAGAUGUGACGUGGUAGAUCAUCUGGUUGAAGCGAUUCUUUGGAGUGAGCAAAGGGGUGCUUUGGUAACUCUAAUGAUUGAAAGGUUUGGCGAGUACCUGUACACUUAGCCACAGACACUCUCGGAAUGGUAAGCUUGGAAGAGCUGCAGGAUGCAAGCUUGUGCUGAAGAAGCAAGAGGACAAUUGCUAUAUAAAUGUCAAGGGGGGUGAUUGUUAGGAUAUUGCCAUUGAUGGGCAACAAUUUAUGCACCUACCCUAAAAAGUAGAGUUGUCAUUGUCAAAAAGCUACAAUGGAAGUUGCACCAGCCAUUGAUAAAAAUGGUGCAACCCAUGUGCUGCCGUCAUUUGUGCCAUAAUUGAUGGCCUCUUGUCUUACCACUGAUGCUUAUAAAUAGAGGCAUUGUUAGAUAGCAAAGUGAGAGAGAGUGAAGUGAAGAGAAGAAGAGAGAAAGAGGAGCUGCUGCCCUGCUGCCAUAUGCAUCAGUGUGUGUGAGCUGGGAGUUGAGUUAGAGUGGAUGUGAUCCUCCUCCUCCACAUAUUUGUUUUGUAUUCUUUCUCUAUCUCUAAUAAUAUUGACCUCUCCCGUGGAUGUAGGCAAUUUGCCGAACCACGUUAAAUAUUGUGUCAGUGUGCUUAGCCUCCAAUGAACAACUAUCAGUACAUCACCGGUUGGAUUCCCCAAUACCAUUGUGGUUGUGAUGGUGGUUAAAAAAACUUAAAUGCACAAAUUUAUCUUAUUAAAUCAUUAGUUAUUAAGCAUAAUUAUAUGAUGGUGAUUAAUCAACUUUCACCCGGUUCUAUAUAAAACCUAGUUCAGUCUAGGUUCUGGGUGGACAAAUAAAUAAUUGUUAUAGAAUGAUAAACAAUUUUUUUUUUAUUUACGGACCAGCUUGCGCGCACCACGACUAAUCCCACGGCCCAUUGAACACCCUGCAAACCCAGUGGGCAUGUAAGGCACCGCGGGGAUGACAGGCGUGCACAUGAGGACUCGAACUCAGGAGCAGCGGAAAGAGACAAGCUCCUCCCACCGCCAAGCCAAGGCCCUUAGUGCAAUCUUGAUCAGAUGACAAAGUGCAUAUUUCAUAUAAAUCAACGAUUAAUUCGAGGGUAUGUUAAGAAAAUUGAAAUUUUUAGAGAAAAAAAAUUAAAACUUUUCAAACUUGGGAGGAGCUAUCGUCUUAUAAAUAAGCUAACAGAUAUUUUCAAAGAACUUUUUGAAAUUUAAUUAAGAGUAUUUUUGUUUUUCCGUUUGAAAAGAACUUAACAUGAUUUGUGAAUUAUUAUUCAAUUUUUCCAUGGUUAUCAAUUUUUAUAUAUAAAAACUAUAUAUAUAAAAAUAAACAUUAACAAGCUUGGUGCUUAAGUUGGUCCACAUGCUUUGGAAGCUUUCCAUCCAUCAAAGACAUGCUUUGGUGAUAAUGACUUGAGAAAAUAUGUAAUCUCUUAAAUUCUUCGCGGAAAGAAAAAGAAAAAGUUCACCAUGACAGGAGGCAUAUAUAAAGACAUUGGCAAUAACUGUGUCGUAGAAAAACGUUCAACUAAUAGUUUUUUUGUUAGCGGAUGCUAUAUUGGAACAUGGAAUAUUGACAAAACCUAAAAGACACAAGCCUUAUUAUAAUAGUGUUUAUAUUUUUUGGAUUUAUAUUUAAAUGCACUUAAAAAAACUUAAUUAACAUGAUUUUUCAAUUGUUAUUCAAUUUUAAUAAGAUUUGAAUUUUUUUAUGAUAAUAUUAUUAAUGGUUCUAUGAAUAAUCAUGUAUCAAUCUGAGUUGCAGAUUUUUUAUGAUAAUUUGUUUAUUAAUAUUGAAUAAGAUUAUAAUAUAUUUUUUCUUGAUGUUUUCAUUAUAAAUAUAUUAAAUAAACUUUUAGUUUUAUUACUAAAAAUAAAAUAUGGUUUUUGCUUUCUUAUAUCUUUCUUUAUUUUUUUUUCUUAUAAAAAUAAAAUAUGGUGCAACUCCGACCAGUGCUAAAUGGAAACAAAGAAAACACACACACAUGAAUUUUCUUUACUUGUUUUUACUUGAAGGAAAAGGCCAAAAAAAUCUCAUUUUACUAUUUUUUUUUAAAAUAUUAUUCCUAUAUUUCUUGCAAGAAUAUCAAUAUACAAUUAAUUAAAAUAUAGUUUUUUUCCACUAAUUUUUUUUAAUUUAUGUUUUUUCAUUUGCUUUUUAUAUAAUUAUUCUGUUCUCAUGAUUCAAGUCAUUAAUUUGAUAAAUUCAUCCGAUUUAACACAAAUUAUUUUUUUAUUUUUAUAAUUUAAUAUUGAAUUAAUUAAAAAUUAUAAAAUUAUUAUUAGACUCAUCAAAUUAACUAGGUGAUGUAAAUUUAUUAAAAUAAUUGUUUAUAAUAUAUGAUUUUUUUUACUAUUAAAGUGUAUAUAAGAAUUUUUUUUUUACUAUUUUCAUGUAAUUACUGAGAAAAUUCAUCAAAACAAUUAAUUAAUGAAAAACAAAUAUGGAUAAUUAUGAUGAUGGUGCAUGGCUCAAUUGGUAAAUGAUGGUCUCACACCUUGGUGUCUAGUCCAUACACUCAGUAGGUUUUAUAUCUGAAAAUAGAGGCGGAGAGAAAGAUUGAACGAAUAAUAUGUAAAUAGGCAUCAUUCUUUCUAACUUUUAAACCUCACUUUUUAAGCGACAUCUGAUCAUUCCUCCAAUUCUAAAAUUAGGAGAGAAAGAUUGAAGGAUUUGGCGGGACACGCACACACCUCUCUCUCUCUCUCUCUCUCUCUCUCUACCCUUGCAUUCAUUCUUUCUGACUUUUAAACCUCACUUUUAAAGCGACACCCGUCAUUCGUACAAUUCUAAAAUUAGGAGAGAAAGAUUGAAGGAUUUGGCGGGACACGCACACACACACAUCUCUCUCUCUCUCUCUCUCCCCUCUUGCCUUCAUUCUUCUAACUUUUAAACGUACCUUUUAAAGGGAUAUCUGAUCAUUCAUACAAUUCUAAAACGAGGAGAGAAAGAUCUCUCUCUGUCUCUGUCACUGUCUCUGUCUCUGUCUCCUUCUCUCUCUCUCUCUCUCUCUCCCCUCUUGCAUUCAUUCUUCUAACUUUUAAACCUCCCUUUUAAAGGGAUAUCUGAUCAUUCAUACAAUUCUAAAACGAGGAGAGAAAGAUUUCUCUCUGUCUCUGUCACUGUCUCUCUCUCUCAACUCAUGGAUUCAUUCUUUGCUUCUUUCUUUUAUGUAUAAAUUGGAUCAUACCCUCUAACUCCGUUACUCUACAAUCAGCUAGCUUGCACUCUCCAGUCUCCAAUAUUAGUUCACAAUUCAGAUAUCUGCUCUGUCUGUCUGUCUGUCUCUCUCUCUCUCUCUCUCUCUCUCUCUCUCUCUCAACUCGUGGAUUCAUUCUUUGCUUCUUUCUUUUAUGUAUAAAUUGGAUCAUACCCUCUAACUCCGUUACUCUACGAUCAGCUAGCUUGCACUCUCCAGUCUCCAAUAUUAAUUCACAAUUCACCGAAAGCAAACUCUCUCAUAUCAUACUUAACUCUUCCCUACCCAUUUAGCUCUAUCAUGGCCACCGUGCUUAUACGUAAGAAACUCAGAGGCACAGACAUCAAAUAUUGUCUGUCUUAUCCCACUCGUACACUCUGGGCAUUCCCGAUGGUCGAGGGUCAAACGGCUAUUUGGUUUCAAGCAAGAGAUCUGACAGGGAAAGUUUGGAACUUUGAGCUCUCUAGACGGCCUUGUGGCUAUCCAAAACCCGUCAUCAGAGGUGACUGGUUGAACUACGUUCGUGAGAAGGGCCUUACAGUUAGAGAUGUUAUCGUCCUCACAAGGGAACAAGAUAUUCAAAAUGGAGAAACCUACCACGUCAAAGUUGAACCAGAUUUGGAACUCACCUUGUAGACCAUUGUUUCGGCUUAUGAGGUGAUCACCUUACUCUUGCUGUGGCAUUUAUGCUUUGCUUCUUUCGAUCUGGUUUCAGAUCCCCUAGAGAGUCUUCAACUUCUAGGGUUUGGUUUAGUCUUGGGUUUAUUUUAUUAUAAUCUUUGACGGCAUGAUACUAUUAAUCGAUAUAUAGUUAUACACUCACAUAAGUUGAGUCUACUCAGUGUUCGAGUCUACUCUACUUCUUGCCUUUCUUGGUCUCUAGCAGUUCUCUCAGCCAUUGAAUCUCUCUCUCUCUCUCUCUCGCUCGCUCGCUCUCUCCCUCCCUCCCUCCCUCGCUCUCUCCCUCCCUCCCCUAUGGUAACGUUUUGCCUGAAGUUUUUGCUGAGUUUUUUUGGUUUGUGCUAAAAAGAAAUAAAAAAGAUACAGCCUUUUGGAUGUCAAGUCUGAUAAGUUGUUAGAUUUGUGGAUUGUGAUCUCUUUGUUCAGCUUUAGAAUUAGCAUAAAUUUCAUGGAUUUGACCAUGAUAAAAGCUUUGACUAAUGGAGUCUCUUUUGUUCUCUUGAGUUUAUUGGGAUGCUGGAGAAGAAAAUUGAUGAUGGCUAAAGAUACCAUGAGGGUGGAAACUCUGUGCUGUAGUAAUUGAGUCUCUUAAUGAUUUGAUUUUUGAGUGCUUUCUUGAGUUCUUUGUUUGUGCUAAAACAAAUAUAUAUACCUCUUGAUUCCUACAUAUAUAGCUAUGCAUCUCUUUCCUACAACGACUAACACAGACUCUGACCAGACCCUUUUUUAUAUAUACGAAAUGGUGUAAAAGUAAAACAAUUGACUGAAAGAUUUUGUCGUAAGCAAAAUCAAUUCAGCCAUUUGGGUGCAUAUUCAGAUAAGUUGAUAGAAUUGUGGAUUGUGAUCUCCAAUCUCUCUGUUGAUAUUGAGCCUUUGAAUUAGCACAGCAAUAAAUUUCAUGAAUUUGACAAAGAUAAAACUUUUGACUAAUUGAUUCUUUUCUGUUCUUACUCAGAUGCUGGAGAAAACAAUUGAUGAUGGCUCAAGAUACCUGGACAUGCAGUUGAGACAACUUAGGGGGGAAGCUUUUGCAUAUUUUGUAUGAACUUUUUUUUAUUAGUUGAAGGGCAUGCCAUGUGCGAACGAUAAUGUCUGUAUACCUCAAUACCUGGAGGGUUACUUUUUUUCUUCUUCUUAUGGGUCUUUAUAUUGAUAGCAUCUACUAUAUGUGAGGAAUUGUCAAAAUUGUGUAAAUCGCUGCAUAAUGUUAGUUUUUUAUUAGCUUUGAAAUAUAUAAUCGUUAUCUUGAAGCAAAAACGUUAGUCUGUCCGAUUUUUCUUUUUUCAUUGCAUCAUUGACGAUUUGAGUAUGAACUGAGUAAUCCGUAGCGUUUAAAUCAAAUAUUGAUAUAAAACAUUAAAAAAUAAUUUUGAAAUAACCACGGAAUUUACGGUGACUAAGUUUUUUUCUUUUAACAACAACAAUUAAAUUAAGUUCUCUAUAGAGAUGAUGAAGGAGAAUAAAUUAUCAUGAAUGAUGAGAGGCGUCGACGUGUGUAAAGGAAAUGGCGACUCGAAAGAACAAGCCUACUGAAUCGACUCCUUUAAGUCAUGUCGGCUUGGUGCGCCAUGCACGUGCAAUAUUUGACUUGUUUGCCUCCAUGGGCAUAAUGUUAAGAUUAUAUUUCUGCUUUUUUUUAGGUUGUGUACGGUAAUGUGUUAGUGGCUGAGGUUUAUAUGUUUUUUACUCAUUAAUAUAUUAAAAUUUAGAUUAUUUUUUUUUUGCUUUCAAAAUCAUAAUGUUAAAAUUCGAUUUCGAUUCCAUGUAUUUUCUUUUUCUUACUGUGAGCAACGGACUCAUAGCAAUGGUUACGAUCCCGUUGCUACAAAUUGUUAGCUUUGUGGAUUGUGAUCUCCAACCUCUUAUUUGUCGAUGCUCAGCCUUUGAAUUACACAGGCAUAAAUUUCAUGAAUUUGACCAAUAUAUAUAAAAGCUUUGACUAAUGGAGUCUCUUUAGUUCUCUUGAGUUUAUUGGGAUGCAUGCAGUUGAGACAACUAAGGGGGAAUUGAAAGCUAUUGCAUUUUUGGUAUCAAAACUGAGGAAUUAAAACUUUAGCGACGGAAUCAUUACUUAUUUUGUCCGGUGCAAAAACAUCCCAUCGAACUACCCCUAAUUUCACGUCCAAACCCACUACACCAACACGUGGCAAACGUCACACUAAAAAACAAAGUGCUCCCUCCAUCCAUGAAAUAAUCCAAGCUUCUAUAACAAGCGUUUUUCUGGGAAUGCAUGUUUUUAACCCAUUUCCUACUUUCACAUUGUUGAUAUUCUACUUAAAAUAAAACAUGGCUAUUAGCAUUUUUAUAUGUGUUCGUAAUUGAGUUUUUUUUUAAUAUUAAAUAUAUUUAUCUAUAUUCUAUAUUUUUAAAUGUCAUUAAUAUUUAUUUAUUUAUUAGUAUAUAUCAUUAAUUUAUUUGAUUAUAUGUGUGUAUAAACUUUUUAAUUUAUUAUAUUUUUUGAAUUAUAAAAAAGCUUUGAAAAAAUUUAUAAAGCGGGUAGCUAACAUGGAGGUUUUGGCGGGUGAUUUUUCCGACAGAAUCAACGAUGGAUUCAAAACGGGUGACCCGUACGUGUGAUGGGACCGGUUCACCGUCACAAAUACCGACGGAAUCACCAACGAAUUUGAAAUGGCAGAUCUGUACGGGUGACGUGACCGGUGCACCGUCAAAAAUACCGAUAGAAUCACAGAGGGAUUUGAAAAGCAGGUCCGUGCGGUGACUUGUCGAUUUUCCGUCAGAAUUACCGACGUAGUCACCGACGGUGUUAUUCCAUCGGAAAAAGUGAAUAUAUGGCCACUCUGUCGACACUCUCCUCCCCUAUUUCUCCUUCUUCUUCCUAAUCUUAACUCUCCCCAUCUGCAAAAAACUACCCCCCCUCGCCCCCAAACAAAAAUCUUCCUCAUCUCAGCACAACAAGUUGUAUUUUUUGAAGUUUUGUGGUCACAACAUCCGUGUUCUGAUUUACCGACGGAUUUUAUCAAUUUUUGUAAGUAAUUCUAUCUUUUUAAAUUUUAACAUUUAAAUGUCAAUUUUAUUAUUUUUUUAGUAUAUGUAUCUUUGUUAGUAGAUGUACAUGUUUUAUUGUUAUUUCUCAAACAAACUUGUAGUAUAUGAAUGUAUAAUUUUAUACCUGUUAUGGUUUGUUUUAGAUUUUGUAAGAUUGUAUUUUUUUGUAAAUUGUUAAAACUUUGUGGAAUUACCGAAUUACAUGUUCUGUUUUGAAAUAAUUAAUAGCUUUCUUAAUGGGUUCUUUUUAAGUUUUAUCGAUGGUAUUGUAGAGUGAUAAUUUCUGUUAAUUUAUAUAUAUAUAUAUAUAUAUAUAUUUAUAUAAAAAUUUGCAUGGGCGUUGAUAAAUGAUAAUGAAUAUUUAAUAUUUAUAAGAAGUUGUGAUUGGUUUGUUGGAUAAUCUCGAGGUAAAGUAAUAUUUUUACAAGUUUAUUUACCUAACUUAGUUAAUUAAUAUAUACAUGAUGUCAUCAUAAUUUUAUAGAGGUUCGAUAGAAGUCAUGAAUGAUCGUUUAUGGAUGUAUCUAGAUUCACCCCAAGGAUUGCGGAGGAUGGAUUAUUGUAACGGGGUUCAGGGUUUUAUUAAUUUCGCAACAUCUAUUCCCAGAAAUUUUACUGGAGGCGGUAUUAGGUGUCCAUGCAGGAAGUGUCAAAAUAAAAAGUAUCUGCAUCCAGAUGUUGUAAUGAUGCAUCUUCUACACAAAGGGUUUGUGAAAGAUUUACCAGUGUUGGUAUGCACAUGGAGAGGUAUUUGUUAGUAUAUGGAGAAUGGAGAAACGGUGGUUGGGUCAACUUCUAGUGCUAGCAACGUGCAUGAAGCGGCAAAUGACAACACUAAUCCUUACAGAAACAUGGUUAUGGAUGCAAUGAGAAUGAAUCAAGUAAUGUCAAUCAAUGUCCAAUCGUAGAAGAAGAACCUAAUGCAGAGGCAGCUAGGUUUUUUGAUUUGUUGAAAGAUUCUGACGAACCAUUAUGGGAUGGCUGCACAAACCACAGUAAAUUAUCGGCUAUGGCACAGGUGUUCACCAUCAAGUCAGAUCACGGGUUGAGUGAGGCCGGGUAUGACAAAAUUAUUGAUUGAGCAAGAAGCAUUUUACCUAAAAGAAACAAACUCAAAGAGAACUUCUAUGCUGCAAAGUUCAUGAUGAAACCCCUCGGUUUAGGAUACUAGAAAAUUGACAUGUGCCCUAAUUUCUGCAUGUUAUACUACCUUGAAAAUGCUGAGAUGAUCGAGUGCAUGACAUGCGGGCAUUCCCGUUACAAACCCAAAACUGGUAGGGGAAAGACUCUAGUGGCAUAUAAAAAACUUAGAUAUUUCCCGAUAACACCUACACUACAGAGGUUAUUUAUGUCACCAAGGACUGCUGAGCACAUGACAUGGCACCAAACACACGAUGUGGUUGAUGUUGCGAUGGUGCAUCCUUCUAACGGCGAAGCGUGGCAACGCUUUAACAGUGUGCAUCCUGACUUUUCUGCUGAAUCAAGGAAUGUCUGUCUUGAGUUGUGUACAGCUGGAUUCAACCCAUUUAGGUCAUUUGCUACUUCCUAUUCUUGUUGGCCGGUCAUACUCACAGUUUUUAACUUCCCACCGGGAAUGUGUAUGAGGUCGGAGUUCAUGUUUUUAUCUACUGUCAUACCCGAUCCAAGCAACCCGGGAUGGAAAAUAGAUGUUUUUCUUCAACCGUUGAUAGAUGAGCUGGCGCAGUUGUGGUCCUCCGGAGCUCUGACUUAUGAUAUAUCGAGGAAAUAAAAUUUUCUUAUGAGGGCGACUUUGAAGUGGACUAUCAGUGAUUUUCCAGCUUAUAGAAUGCUUUUUGGUUGGAGCACACAUGGGAAACUCGUAUGUCCAUACUACAUGGAAAACAACAAGGCAUUCAUGCUAGCAAACGGAGGUAAAGCUUCUUCUUUUGAUUGUUACCGUCGCUUCUUGCCACUUACUCACAGGUUCAGAAAGAACAGAAAAAGAUUUCUUUGUUGGUAGAGUUGAAAAAGAUGUUGCAUCCCCGCGUCUUUCUGGUGAAGAAUUGCAUCAUGUUGUAUCAGAGUACGGUGACAUUGUGUUUGGCCUUCAAUCAGGUAAGCAAAAGUUUCCUGGUUUUGGUUUGACCCAUAAUUGGGUAAAGCGAAGUAUCUUUUGGGAGCUUCCGUAUUGGAAGACCAAUCUUCUCCGCCAUAACCUUGAUGUCAUGCACAUCGAAAAGAACGUGUUUGAGAAUAUUUUCAACACCGUCAUGGAUAUGAAGGGGAAGACAAAGGACAACAUGAAGGCUAGAUUGGAUAUAGCUUUAUACUGUAACCGUAAAAAUAUGGAGUUGGUUUAUGAGGAGUCACGGAUUGCAAAACCAAGGGCAAACUUCGUCUUAGAGAAAAACGCACAACUAUUAGUCUACAAAUGGCUUAAGAGUCUGCGUGUUCCGGAUGGACAUGCAUCGAACAUAUCAAGGCUUGUUAAUAUAGAGGACUGCAGAUUGUAUGGAAUAAAGAGCCAUGACGGCACGUGUUUUAUGCAAACACUCAUCCCAUUAGCUUUUCAUGAUUUGUUGCCAAAGGGAAUAUGGGAUGCACUGACGGAAACCAGUCAUUUAUCAGUUAAGUUUUUGCAGGAAGGUAAAUAGGUAAUACAAAUACAACCUUUCCUGCAAAAUGCAAACUUACCGACGUCAAUACCGACGGAUAACCAUCCGUCGGCAUCUCACAGAGAGUUUGAAAUUAAUUACAUGAAAUGCCACCAUCACCGACGCCCUUACCGACGGAUUCACCAACCCCUACACCCACGGAUUAUAUUCCGUCGGUAUCUCAUAGAGAGUUCAAAAAUUAUUACUCGAAAUGCCACAAUCACCGACGACCUUACCGACAUAAUUAUAUCAGUCGGCAUCUCACAGAAAGUUCGAAACUAAUUACGCAAAAGGCUACAAUCCCGACGUAGUUAUCGACGGAUUCACCGGCACCUACACCGGCAGAUUAUAGUCCGUCGGUAUCUCACAGACAGUUCGAAAAUUAUUAUGCGAAAUGCCACAAUCACCGACGACCUUACUUACGUAAUUUUUCCGUCGGCAUCUCAUAAAGAGUUCAAAAUCAAUUACACCAAAUGCCACCUUCACCGACGAACUCCCCAAUGGUAUUAAGUCCGUUGGUAAGUUGUCGGUGGCCAAACAGUACCGACAAAAAUACCGACGGAAUGUGCGAAUUCUAAAGAGACUGCAUUAAAUGCACCUAUAAUCGAGUCACAAUACCGACGAACUGCGAACAAUAUGGAGGGUAAUUAAAAUUUUUGGAGCGAAAUUCUAAAAUUACCGAUGGAUUUUUACCACGUUACCGACAGAUUUAAUUUAAAUAAUAAUAAUUUUUUAUAUCCGUAGGUAAAACCGCGCUAUAAGUUCUUGUGGCCGCCCCUUCAGUUCAUUUUUUCUUCUCCUCCGUUUCCCCUUCAGUUCUUUCGAUUUUUUUGCUUUUAAAUCUUUAAGUUUUGUUGAAUCUCUAGCAAGCUUGGUUGGGAAUCUUCAUCACAUUCAAAGGUAUGUGUUUUUUUCUAUUUCAUUUCAUUUUAUUUUAUUUUAUUUAUAGUUAUUUUUAUUCUUUUUAUCUUUUUUGUUUUGUUGUAUUUUUUUGAAAUGUAGAUAAAGUUUUUGUUUCAACACAUUAUUAAGGUAUGCAUAUUUCUUCCCUAAAGUCUAUAGAUUUUGUUUUGAAUUUAUUGAAUAUUUUUUAUUGUUGUAUUGGCAUAAUUGUUAUAAGUUAAGUUGUUGAAUAUUUGUUGUUAAUGUUGAAUUUACCUUAGAAUUAGUAAUUGCAUAUGUUGGAAUAAUUAGUAAUUUUACUUUAUUAUUGCAUGAUUUGUGUUUAAUUAUUUCCAUUGUUUUUAAUUGUUAGUUUAUAUAUUUUUUUAAUUUAUUGAAUAUAUUUUAUUGUUGUAUUGACAUAGUUAUUGAAUAAUUUGUUGAAUUAUAAUUGUUAAAGUUGAAUUUACCAAAUUUUUAAUUGUUAGGUGCUGCCGAAUUUUUUUAACUUUUGAAUUUAAUUAUAUAAUUAUUUAUAUAAAAUUAUUUAGAUGCGCAGAAUGAAAACCAAAGCUGCAUGUCUAGUCGAAUCAAGUUCGUCUACCAACGAAGAUGAUAUUUCCUUAGGUGCCUCUCAAGAAAAGGCACCUACACCACUUGCGUCGUCAACCGAUGUUGCCUCUUCUAGCACUGUUUCACGGUGCAGAAGCGGCGUGCCUUCACGGCAGAAUCAAUUUACCCGCAAGUACGAGGCACAGUGGAAGGACGAUCUUUCAAUGUAAGUUUGUUAAGGUUUAAGUUUUUUUAAAAUAAAAAAAAACAAAUUUAAACAUAAUUUAUGAAGUAAUCACUAUUUCAUUAAUUUCAUUUCUUUUCAGGUUCACAAACAUUGAGGCCGCCGGAGUAAUAUCAUUGGCGUUUAAAGCGUCGAUGAAGAUUCCAUUGUUUCAAUGGAGUCAGAUAUCCAGGCAUCCUGAAUGGAUGUCUCAAAUCAAUGCAUGGUUUUCUAGAUUUGAGGUUCGUGUUAAUAUAUAAUUCUCAGCUUAUUUCUAAUAAAUUCUUAAUAUAAUUGUAAAUAAAUUAUAAAUAUUUUAAAAAAUUAAUUUUUUAUACACAACAUCGAUUCUACUGUGACGAUGAACAUAACACUGUUGUGUGGAGGGUGUGGGAAAAUCACGCGCCAAAUAGGUAACAUAGAAAACAAUACAACUUUUUUUUUACAUAAAAAUUUAUGUUUCAAAAUGUAAUUUUUGCUUGCGUGAAUUAGGUUGCGUGAUUUUUGGUACGAAGCCCAAAAAAAGGCAAAAAAACUACGAGGGAUAAGGGGUUCCAAGGCUGGAACGAUGUUGCGGUUUGAAGGGAUUUCAAACCGAUAUACAUCCCAAAAGAUAUAUGGCCACACUAUCUUUAGCACGUGAUGUCUGAGUGGUUCACACGACGCUCACAGUCCGGUGCUGGCAACCAGAAUCGGUCAAUUCAUGGCUCCGUGACAACGUACACCAGCGUCUUCGUUCUGUUUGUUGCACAUGCGAAAUGGAUGGUAAGAUUAAUUUAAAUGAAAUAUAUCGUUCAAUUAAUUUGUUGUUAAUAAUUUUUUUUUCAUUAUAGGCUACGUCUCUUGGACGUGAGCCGAGCCCUAUGGAGCUGUUUGUGGAGACGCAUGUGUGGAGUCAAGACCGCCAAAAGGGGACGCAACAGUUCAUUGGCAAUCGUGCUCAACAGUUUGUGGUAUGUUUGUUCAACCAUUUUAUUUUGUAAGUUAUUAUUAUGUUUAUUGAAUUGAAUAUGAUGAUUACUUUUUUUUAUUUUCAGGAGACCUAUAAUAAUCGUUUGAGGGAGAGAUACGAGGACGAUCUUUUAACCCAUCCGGAAUUCAAUCCAGAUUUUUGGAUGGAGGCUGGAUCGUCAGGUGGACCCGAUAAAAAUCGGGCUCUCCAACAUUACAGCCGCCAACUUGUGGUCGGCCGAUAUUGCUUCAACCGUCGGGACCUCCCCAUCAGUAUCGAGCUCCCAAUCUAAGGAGUUUGUGGCCUUGCAGCAAAAGUGCGACCACCUAUCAGAGGCGUAUACACAACUCAAAGAACAACAAAGAGUGGCGUACGAACAACUCAAAGAACAAUACAGAGCAAAGUCUGAACAACAAAGAGUGGCCUAUGAAAAGCUUCGUCAAAUGGUCAUGAACAUGGCACAAGGUGGAACAUGUGUGCCUAAUCCUUUUUGGCCGUCUAACCCCCAGCCUCCUCGUCCUCCACCUUUAUAUUAAUUUUUAAUAAAUAUUAUUUACAUUUAAAAUUUCGUUUAAUGUUUUUUUGAAACACAUUCAUUUUAUAAUGAAUAUUAUUUAACUUUGAGUUUUAGUUUUUGAUGCUUAAUAUAAGUUUUAUUUGCAUAAUUGGUUUGUAUUACCAUUAAUUUAUAUCAUUUUAUAUUAUGUAUUCUAAAUAAUUAAAAAAAACAAUUACACAAGGAGUUACCGACGGAAUAACUCCGUCAGCAAUGGACAGUGGCUGCCACCAUCACCGACGAAUAUUCAGAUGGAUACAUUCAGCCGGUAUUCUAUACAAUCACCAAUAGCUUCACCGACGGAUUAAAUCCGUCGGCAUUUGACAGUAGCUGUCAAAUGUACCGACGAAUUUACAGACGGAUAUAUUCGGUCGGUAUUUCAACCAUCACCGACGAAUUUACCGACAGAUAUGGGCCAUCGGUCAUACACUAUAUCACCGACGGAGUAUUGUCCGUCGGUAUAUUCCAAGCGGGAAACAUUUUUUUUUGGCGCGCACAUUCCGUCGGUAAAUAUUUUUUUUUCUAACCGAUAUAGCGACGGAAUGUGGAAUCACCGACAAAAGGUAAUCUGACGGGUGUAUUAUGUCGGUAAUAUAGUCGGUAAAUAAUUUACCGACGAACUCUCAGUCACACACCGACGAAAAGGUAAUCCGACGGGUGUAUUAUGUCGGUAAUAUAGUCGGUAAAUAAUUUACCGACGAACUCUCAGUCACACACCGACAGAAUAUGUCUGUCGAUAAAACUAUGAAAUCUUAUAGUGGUAUAUUUUAGAUGUGUUGAAAGGUAAUGUCCAUAAGUGGAAACUGUUAGAAUUAAUUUUGAAUUCUGGAACAUAAUUAAAAGAGAGUUUAAGAAAAUAUAAAAUUGAGUUCUUUAAAGAUUAAUUCUUUUUUAUUCUUCUAGGUGAAAAUGUGCAAUGCACUAAUGAUAUGGUCAUGUUUUUCAGUUUUUGGAAUUAUUAUUAGAUUAGUAUAAAUAUGUCUUAAAAAUAUCAUAAUCUGAUUCCAAAUUUAUUUAUUUUUUAUAUAAUCAUUAAUUUUAUUAAAAAAACAUGGUUAUUUAGGCCAUAGCCAUUAAAAAAAAAAACUUACAAAUUGAAUGGGGAAUUUACUGUUUAACCCUGUCACUCCUUCUCUGAACAAUUGGCUACGCUGAGUUUUUAGAUGCACAUACAAAAAUGAAAAGAUUGAAUCUCAUCAAAUAUGAAUCACAAUUUACAAAUAAAAAAAAUUGUUAUACUUUGGCGCGUUAAAAAUUCUCUUGGUCCUGAAUUAAGUGGACAUUGGGUUAUAGGUUCCAAGUGAUUUUAUUAAUAAUUUCCAUGGAACUUGCUUUUUGGAAAGAAAAAAAAAAGUGUGUACCUGAACUCUGAAUGUGGCCCGUAUGUAUGCCAGCUCUGUGAUCAGUAUCAUCCUAUUAGCUAUAUUUUUUAAAAUAUUUUUUUAUAUUAAAAUAAUAUUUUUUUAUUUUUAAAAAUCAAAUAAACAAGGAUACCAUAGCUUCAAAAUUUCUUAACAGCACAUUAAAUAAAUAAGUGAUUUAAACGGGAAAUAACGGUCUAUUAAGAGGCUUCGUAGCUCGCGGGUAAACUAAAUAUCUGUCUAAAAUAACAUCCAAUCUUUUUUCUUUUUGCCCUAGCUAGUGCGUGUUCAAGCUCUCCUUUAAAAGAUCAUUGAUUUUAUUUUUUCUGUAGUGGUAUGAGGACCUUGAUUGAUCAUGUAGAGCUACAACCCUUUUUUCUUUCAUUAUAUAUUAAAUAUCCAUCACAAAAAAGGGUUGCUUUGCCGAAGAUGGUAGAAUAUAAAUAACUAAUCGAUAAGGUGCUUCAGUCAACUUCCUAGUAAAGCUUACACAUACACAUCACAUCACAAAAAGGUUGUCUCCACUCUCCACUGCAUGCUACGCCUACAUGUAUUCUGCAUCUUUAACCCUCCAGGUAUCUUGAGCCAUCAUCAAUUGUUUUCUCCAGCAUCUGAAUAAGAACAGAAAAGAAUCAAUUAGUCAAAACUUUUAUCUUUGUCAAAUUCAUGAAAUUUAUGGCUGUGCUAAUUCAAAGGCUCAAUAUCAACAGAGAGAUUGGAGAUCACAUUCCACGAAUCUAUCAACUUAUCUGAAUAUACACCUAAAUGGCUGAAUUGAUUUUUGCUUACGACAAAAUCUUUCAGUCAAUUGUUUUACUUUUACACCAUUUCGUAUAUAAAAAAAGCGUCUGGUCGGAGUCUGUGUUAGUCGUUGUAGGAAAGAGAUGCAUAGCUGUGUAGGAAUCAAGAGGUAUAUUUGUUUUAGCACAAACAAAGAACUCGAGAUAGCACUCAAAAAUCAAAUCAUUAAGAGACUCAAUUACUAUAGCACAGAGUUUCCAUCCUCAUGGUAUCUUUAGCCAUCAUCAAUUUUCUUCUCCAGCAUCCCAAUAAACUCAAGAGAACAAAAGAGACUCCAUAGGUCACUUAAAAAGUGAGGUUUAAAAGUUAGAAAGAAUGAAUGAAUGCGUAUUUUGCAUAUUAUUCGUUGAUGGUUGCCGGCUCACUGAACGUUGGUCUGUAUCAAAGAGUUGAGCUUCCCUUCACUUCGUUUACUGUUUUUAUCUCUUAAUUUAGCUAGUAACCAAACAUUAUCUAUAAACACCUUAUAUGUAAAUAUUUAUUGUUAAUUGACAAGCUUUCGAAUGAUCAUCUGUCGGAUACUUCAAACAAAAUGCGAUGUGAAAAAAUUUUUAAAAAGCUAAAAUUAAUAACAAACUAGGUUGAAUAUACACACACACACACAACCAAAUAGAAACCAUAAUGAUUUUUUUGGGUUAAAUAUCAAUACUAUAAACGCUUCUAAUAUUAUUAAAAUAAAUCACUAUACAUAGCUCCAGUAUUUUUAUAUUAAUAAAUAAAAAAUCUAAUGCUGCCUGAAAUCGUGAAAGUGGCUUCGUUUAGGGGAAUCUGACAGAAAUCGGGAGCAUGACAUAUAUCCUUAUAGAGAUAUAAAAUUUGCGGAUUGUAUGAUCUGCGAUUCCGUCUAAGGUUAAAUCCUUUUGUAUGUCAGGUCUGAUAAUUUUUUAGAUUUUGAAAGAACGCUUUUCACGGAAUAAACGGUGACUAAGUUCUUACAACAAUUAAAUUAAGUUCUCCGUAGAUGAGUGAUGAGAGCCGUCCACGUGUAUAAAAGGAAAUUGCGACACGAAAGAGCUAGACUACUGCAUCGACCCUGUCAAGUCAUGUCGGCUUGGUGCCAUGCACAUGUUGAGGCUCUCUAGCUGCAUAUAUUUGAAAUUUUUGCCUCCAUAGCCAUAGCCCAUAGGCAUGACGUAUAGAAUCCAAAAUAGUAGAUUUCAAAACAAAUCAGCCACACCUGAGUACACAAUAUCUCAAAUGGCACUGAUGGAUUUCAAAACGGUUCUAACUCAAACCCUUUAUCGCUACAAUGAUAUAAACUAAAUUCUCACUACUUAGUUUAAAGUAGCAGUGGGAAUAGAAGGGACGCUGCUAUUACUAUAAAUAAAUGUCAACUAAAUCAAUUAUAUUUAAGGAAGAAAUUCAAUUUAAGCCCUAAUUUAUAAGUGGAGGAAAAUGUACUAAAACUAUUUUUUUAUUACAGGUUGAAAUUUAUUUUGACAUCUUUGGGCGAGAAAAAACUAAAUAACCGAUUAAACUAAAAAAAUAAAAAAUAAAUAAUUAAAAAAAUCGAACCGAAAAAAACCUAAAUUAAUUAAUUAAAAAAUCAUAAAAAAUUCAUGUUCAGUUCAGUUUUAAUUUCUAAAAUUUAAAAUCAAUUAAACCGAACCAAAUUAAACCAGUUCAACCAGGCCAAUCAUUAAUAAAAAUCAAGUAUAAAUAAUAUGUUUUUUCUAACUUUAAACUUAAAUGCAUUCUUAGCCACCCCUCUCGCUGCUUUAUAUCUCUCAUCUCUCAAAUUUAUUUAUUUUUUCUCUAUGUAUUCUCAGUCCUAUGUCAAUUUGGAUCUCUUUCUCUUCUCUAAAGGACGGGUAAUGGAUUCUUCUGGGCUUCUUAAAUUUUGCUGAUUCUUGUGCAAUUUCUCUAGUAUUCCACUUUUAUUGCAUGGGUUUGUUCUUCUUCUUUUUUCUUAUUUAGUUGGUUCAUAUUUAUGGAUGAUAAUGUUGUUUUUGGUGAUUUAGAUUUUGGGUUUGUUACAUAAUGAUUUUUUUAAGCAUUCUUUUUUAAUUAAGGACUUUGCUUUAUUAAUCCGCCUUGUAAAUUGAAGAGAACGAUACCAUUUUUCACAGCGUUUAGUUUCAUUAUCUCUAUAGUCUUAUCCUGGUUUUCCACUCAAUUUGUCAACACAUUUUCCCGUUCCAACUGCAUGUCAUUUGUUUUCUGACGCAUAUAUUACUAAACCUAUUGAGGCCAGCUAAUAUGUUGUUUAUCGUAGUCAUGAUGACAUGAAUUAAUAAUGUCUACGGAGUUGAACAAUCUAACCACAAUGAUAAAAUUUUCAUGUUAAAGAUGCUUUAGUUUAGUUUGAAAAAUAAAAGUUCUAAACAAUAUAAUCAAUAAAAAUAAAAACUACAAAAUUAAGUUAUUAGAUGAUGUUUCAAUAUAUAAUUUAUAUUAUUUUUUAAUAAAAUUAAUUAUUAUUAUGUUAAUAGUUAAAUGCACAUAGAAACUACAAGAGUACACAAUUUUAUUUUAUUUUUAAUAAAUAUCACAAACAAGAUCCAAAACUAUUAUUUGUUUGAGGUCUAAGAAUCAACUGGUGAUGAAAGAAGAGAUAAAUUAUUCCUCGAAGGAUUCUUUUAAAAAAUUCAUUGUGAAAAAAGAAAUUUAUCUAAAAGAUUUUGAAACAAUUAAAAAUAUGUGCAUUGCUAGAUGCACGUUGCCUAGAAGUAGUUAAGACUAUAUAUAUUCUCACUUAUAUAUUUACAUGAAAAACCACUGUAUAAUAUUUUUUUUUAAGCUGCAGGUUUUUUUUUGGGUACAAACGAAAGGAGAAAAAACAAAACUACAAAUACUAACCGAAAUUUACCAGAUAAUUACACAUGCUGUAAUGCAUUUCAAAUUAAUUUUUUUAAUAUAAAGUAUACAUACAUAAAUAAAUAAAUAAAAAGAUUCACAUAUGACUUAAUUAAGAAAAAAAAACAACUGAACAACCUAUAAAAAAAUAGUUUAAUUUAAAAAACAAUUUUUGAAAUUUUAUAGGGUCUAGUGUGAGUCUUAAUAAAAUAUUUAUUUUGAUGUAUUUUUAAAUAUAAAAUAAUUUGAAAAAUUAUUAUUAUUAUAUUAUAAAAUAAAAUAAAAAACCCAAAGUUUUAGAAUUGUAGGAAUGAGAUGUCGAGUGAGGUUUAAAUGUUAGAAAGAAUGAAUGCCUAAUUGCAUAUUAUUCGUUGGUGGUUGCCGCCUCACUGAACGGUGGUAGGUGUGUGUGCGUGUCCCGCCAAAUCCUUCAAUAUUUAUGAUCAGAUGUCGCUUAAAAAGUAACCAAACAUCAUCUAUAAACACCUUAUCUGUAUCAGUUAUUAUCUAUAAAUGGAAUCAAAAGUCUUAAGUUGUUUGUGUUAAGUAUUAAGUAUUAAGUACACCUCUAUUACUGAGCCACCAUCAUCACAAUUAUCCAUAUUUGUUUUCAUUAAUUAAUUGUUUUGAUGAAUUUUCUCAGUACGUAGUUACAUGAAUACUCUUAACAUAGCCAUGGCGCAGAGGUGCUGUAAAUUGUUAUGGGGGAAGAGUUAGCGUGGUGGCUGCUGGCAUUGUAGUUGUCCGAUUAGUUUCGGAUAUAAAUUAUUGGAUUGUUAAAUCAAUUUCAAUUUAACCAAGACUACUAGCUUGGUGGCUGCUGGCAUUGUAGUUAGCGUGGUGGAUGCUUGACUAAUGUUGUCUUAGGAAAGAUAUAGAUAUAUAGAUAUAUAUAUCUUAAAUCCAAGUUGCAGUGUAUUGAACCGCCCCCGAAAAGCAACACCCUAAAGAUGCACUCAUCAGCUUGCAGUGUGUUCACUAUAAGGGGCCCCUUGAAAGCUGGAGCCGACUCUUGGACCUCAAUUUCGUCAUGGGAUGCGCCAGCAUGGCUGUCCUGCAGUUCCCCUUCAGUUCAAGAUGAGUCACUCUAUUUUUGGAGGGUUGUGGUGGUGGGUGGUUGCAUUUUGUAUCUUCAAAGUUUUCUAGAACCACAAGUAAAGUGUCCAUAUACAGAUGAAUCUUGGCCCAUUUAUGUCAUCACGUUCGUGCUUAUCCUAAGAAUAUCUCAAACCGCUAAUUAAUAUCUAGUUAGCAACAUUUUCUACUUGAUGCGACUUAAUUUCUUAUUUUCAGAAAAAGAAAAUCAAGAAAUUCAUAAAAAGCCGUGCCAGCUGAUAUCCUUUCAAAACACAUCAAUAUGGAAAAUUUGGCAAGAUGCUUUCAAUCGUCAUUCCCUCUCCAUUGCCUGAUCUAAAAGAUGCAAGGUAAUCAGUGGGGUUUUUUUUUUUUAUUUCUUUCAAAUUCAUCAAUCUUUUUAUUGGAAAAUAGGCAAUCUUCUAAUCCUUUAUCUGUUUGUUGUUCUUCUCAAAUUCAUUUCUAUUUAUUGCUUCAUCUCUUAUAUUUUGUUGUGUAGAAGGUUCUCUUAUUCUUUUCAAAUUUAGCUAUAUAUAUAUAUUCACCAUCAAACUUUUACCUCGUAUGAUUUCAACUUUAUGGCUAAAUUAAAGAUUAAUUGCUUAAAAUUCUUUAAGAAUAGUAAGACUGAAAGAAAGAGAAUCAUGAAGUAGAAAAAAAUAGGUGGAAGUUUUUACGAGCAUGACCGCAACUUGGUUUUAACGUUAUCUUUAAUAUAUUGUUUGAAUACUUCCUUUAAGAACAUAAAAAUCGAAAAUGCCUAUUUUAAGUAUGCAGAAGCUCCUGAGUUCUUGUAACUCUAUUUUGUCUUCACCGUCUCACCCCUCUCUUGCUACCUUCAAAUAAAAGUUGUAGUUUAUUAUAUGUUGCUGGCUUUCCUUUCCAUUAUCUAUCGAUUUUUAAUGGAUUGUAAUCUCUUUUUCUGCCUUAAUUAAUCAAUAUUUAUCAACAUUUGGAGUAAUUUAUUACAUACAAUUAAAAGGGCUGGGGAUUGGCUCAAGGAGACUAUUUCAAUUUAUAUUGUCUGGUAAUACGGUUUAAUCUAUUUUUAAAUUGUUUUUCAAGUGUUUUUUUUAUAAUUUUAUCAUGUUGAAGUAAAAGAUUUUAAAAAAUUAUUUUAAUAUAUUUCUAAUUAAAAAAUAUUUUUACAAAAAUAUAUUAUAACGCAACACCAUACAGAUUUUUUCUUGCAUCUUAACUGGAGUUAAAAAGAAAAGAAAGAAAGAAAAGGUUGGGGCUAUUUUGCUGGAAAGGAGAAGAAUCAACAAAGAAACAUUAAGAAAAUCAGAGCAUUCAGCCCAAUAUAAGGGAGGAAGAAUACUAUUAAACAAAGUUGUCAAUUAUAUAUAUAUUCUUGCCAAGGAGAACGAAUUUUAUUCUGCUCAGGAAAUUGAUUCAUUCCGAAUUUCUCUCUCAAUUUUCAGCCGUGAUAUUUGGGGUUUACAAAAUAAAAGUAUAAAUAUAUAAAAUAUUUAAUAAGUUUGAGUGGUUUGGAAAUAUAUCAUAUGCCAUUCGGAAAUCAAGACAGUCAAGAUGAGGCAAUUUCUGUAGCAGCAAUCUAUAUAUGUGGUGCUCUGGAAGAUAAAUCCACACAGUUCCCCUUCAAUUCAAGAUGAGUCAAUAAUCUCUGAAACAUGGGAAUAUCUAUUUCUUCUGCAUAAGCAAGAGCUUAGAAAUCCAAAACAAAAUUGCAAGAAAUUCAUAAUUCCAAUAGAAAAACUCUAUUUUGUUUUUUUUAAUAUGACUUCAAUCUUUAUAAAGAAGUAGAGCAAAACAACCUCGUAUUAAUAAGAAGCACUGUCCUAAUGACAUAAUUAACUGACUUCUAUUCGACCGCAAACAUAGGUGAUAGCACCUAGUGUUUUUUUUUUUUUUUUUUUUUCAUAGGCAAUAGAAUGCAUGAAAACACCUAAUAAUAGACAUACAAGAGAACCGGAAUAAAUCUGCAGAGACCAAGAAUAUUCAGAAGACAGAGAGCCAGCUGACUUAUAAUCAAGAAACCAAAAUCAAAACCAUGCCAUUGUUUCUUCAAUGCAAGAAAACUCCACCUUGAUAGUAUCAUUAAGGACUGUAGUAGUAGCUAGCAGCAUCUGAAAAUACUAGGGAUGACAAUGUAGAACAUUUAAUUAACGUUGCAGUAACAAGAAACAGUUCAUAUCAUUUCGAUCCAAAAAGUUCUAUACAAAAUCUGUAACAACAUGCUCUGCAAGCUGUUCCAAGCCUUAUCGCCCAGCUAAAAUCGUCACUUGACUUUACGGACCUGAUAUUGUUAAAAGCACACCAUAUUAAUGAUCACUAGGCAAGACAGGAAGCUCCAACAUCUUUACCUCUCUUCUCACUUUCUUCUCCUUGAUAAAUGAUAACCCAGGUAUUGCCUCCUUACCAAUCAUGUCAAUUUUACUGAUCUUGAAAUCACGCAGACUGCAUAUGAAUCGAUCCAGUCUCUUUUGCAAUGGAAAAUUGCCGGACAACAUUUGGUUGGAUUUGGUAUCAUAUGUCCAUCCAUCAUCCCCUAGCUUCAACUCUACCCAGGCAUCAACCCAUCCAUCAGGGAAAGGAAACUGACCAUCCAACUUAUCGUCCCAGUUCAUGUCACCACAAAAAAUCACAUUUGAGUUCUUCUUGAGAAGGUUGAUGGCCUCCUUUGCCUGAUCCACGCCUUCCUUGCUGAACAUCUGAUCCCAUUUUGGAGGUGCUGGACAAGGACUCUCUAGAUGGCUUGUGGCAACAACUAAUGACUUUUUUCCUGGAACUUCAAGCUCAGCAAUGCAAAGUUUUCUCCCCAUUAUUGAAUUCAUAA
rnacentral:lncRNA from 1 species